AAAAAAAAAAAAAAAAAAAGAAGAAGAGCAGCUGGAAGUUUCUUGUAAUAUUUCCUUAAAAGGAGCACUGAAAUUUCAUCACUUCCAAAUUUCUGGGUCCUCUCUAAAUUCUCUCCUCAGUCCUCUCUCUCUUCAUUUGCAAAAUUUCAGAUUGGAUUCGACGCAUUUUCAAAACUACGCAGAAAAUAUAACCAACGGUGAGACCUCAACGGCGUUAAUGGAAGGUGUGGCUGGCUUCGACACAGCGAGUAGCAGAGUGUGUGAUGUACAUUUGGCGGGACUGAGUUUAUUUGCUUAACUUUGUGAACCUUCAGUUCAACUGGGCUUUCUCAUCUCAUAAUUUUUAUUUUUUAUUUUUAUAUAAAAGAAAGAUCUAUAUCGUGAUUCAAUAUUUAGUAGUAGAGCAUUUUGCAGUGGCUUCAAUUGGCAUGGAAAACGCCUCGUCAUCUUCUACUGUCCAAUGGAAAUAUGAUGUCUUCAUCAGUUUCAGAGGAGAGGACACCCGCAACAAUUUUAUGGAUCAUCUAUAUAAUGCUUUGAUAGGGAAAGGCAUUAACACUUUUAGAGACGAUGAGAAACUUGAGAGAGGAAAACCCAUUUCACUGGAGUUGUUGAAAGCGAUAGAAGAGUCGAGAUUUACUAUUGUCAUUCUCUCAAAAGACUAUGCAUCUUCACCUUGGUGCUUAGAUGAACUUGCAAAAAUCAUUGCUUGCAAGGAAGACAUGGGAAUGAUAGUUUUGCCUGUUUUUUACUAUGUGGAGCCAUCUGAUGUACGAAAACAAAUGGGAACUUUUGCGCAGGCAUUUGUUAAACAUGAAGAGGAGGAGGAAAAAACAAGGGUGGAUAAAUGGAGAGAUGCUUUGAGACAAGUGGGCAACCUCGCUGGAUGGCAUUUAAAGGAUACUAGGCCUGAGUCACAAGAUAUCCAAGAAAUCGUGGGUUGGAUAUUGAUCAACUUGAAAUAUGAUGCAUUCCCAUACAUUACCGAGGACCUAGUAGGGAUAUAUUCUCGAUUAGUAGAAUUGGAGUCAUGUUUAGCUCUAGGUUCAAAAGAUGUCCUCUUUAUAGGGAUUUGGGGGAUGGGAGGGAUCGGUAAGACAACUCUUGCUAGAGUUGUUUAUCAUAUGGUUUCUAAAGAAUUUGAAGCUCGUGGUUUUAUUGAGGAUGUAAGGGAAAAGUUUGAAAAAAAUGGUUGUGUUUCACUACAAAAGGAAAUUAUUAAAAAAGUUUUGAUGGUAGAGAAUUUGGAAAUUGAAGAGGAGUGUGAUGGAGUUCUCAAGAUCAAGAAUAGGUUAUGUCGUAAAAGAGUUCUACUUGUUCUUGAUGAUGUACAUAAAUUGAAACAGUUAAAAAUGUUAGCAGGGAAGCGUAAUUGGUUUGGUCCGGGUAGUAGAAUUAUCAUAACAACAAGAGAUGCGCAUGUGCUUAAAGCACAUCGAGUAAAUGAAAUAUAUGAAGUUAAAGGAUUGAAUAAUGAAGAUGCUCUUCAACUUCUUUGCUUGAAAGCUUUGGAAAAAGAGCAUGACCUUGAUGAUUAUAUAGAGUUGUCUAACCAUUUUUUGAAUUAUGCUAGUGGCCUUCCUUUAGCUCUUGAGGUUUUGGGUUCCUUUUUGUGUGGAAAAAGUAUUGUUGAAUGGACAAAUGCAUUAGAGAGACUCCAAGAAUUUAAUGAUGAAGCAAUUCUCCAAGUACUUGAAAUAAGUUUUAAUGGACUCCAAAAAUCACAGAAGGAAAUAUUCUUGCAUAUUGCAUGCUUUUUCAAUAAUCAGAAGAAAGAUUAUGUAUUAGAAAUACUAGAUAUUUUGGGCCUUUACCCUGUUAUUGGAUUGAAGGAACUCACUGAUAAGUCUCUCUUGAAAAUUAUGGAUAAUGAUGUAGUGUGGAUGCAUGAUUUACUUCAAGAAAUGGGCAGGAACAUAGUUUGUCAAGAGUGCCUUGAUGAUCCUGGGAAACGUAGUAGAUUAUGGGAUUAUGAGGACAUUAACAAAGUGUUAAAAAAAAAUAAGGGGACAGAAGCACUUAAAGCCAUGGAUAUUGCGAGUACUUGUAAUGAACAACAACAUGGAUGUUGGAACCCUGAGGCCUUUUUGAAGAUGGAUAAUCUUAAAUUUCUUAGAAUUAAUGGCACUCUCCCUGUCCCCAUACACCUUCCUAAUGAUUUAAGAAUUCUUCAUUGGAUUUCGUAUCCUUCAAAAUCUUUGCCAUCAAGUUACCAGCUAGAUGAGCUUGUUCAACUUUGUUUGCAACAAAGCAAAAUUCAACAACUUUGGACAGGAAUAAAGAAUUUUGACAAGUUGAAGUUCAUUGACUUGACCGACUCCCUGGACCUGUUUAUAACUCCAGACUUCACUGGAGUCCCAAAUCUUGAGACAUUAGUUCUUGUAAGGUGUACAAAUUUACGCGAGUUUCACCCAUCUAUUGGAAUUCUUAAAAAACUUAUUCAUCUUAAUUUACAAGAUUGUGAAAGACUAAUUCGUCUUCCAAGCAAGUUUGGAAUGGAGUCUCUUGUGACUCUUGAAAUUUCUAAUUGUCCAAAACUCAAGAGAAUUCCAAAAUUUGUGGCAAACCCGAAAUUCUUACAGGAGGUUUCUCUAGAUCGCAUUGCUAUUGUGAAUCUAAUUAAAAACUUGCCAGAGAACCUAAGGAUAAUCAAAGGCCUAGAGAUACUCGAUUUGAGCAAAGCAGAUAUAGAAGAGCUACCUUCAUCAAUUGAACGUUUGACUGACCUUACUUCAUUAACUCUAAGAUAUUGCAAGAAUCUUGUGAGCCUUCCCAACACCAUUUGUAAUUUGAAGUUGCUUAAGUCUCUUGAUCUUUUUGGAUGCUUAAAAUUUCGUAACUUGCCAAAGAACAUAGGAAAUGUAAAAGGUUUAGAGUUGCUUAAUUUGUGUUGGACAGCCAUAAGAGAUGUUCCUUCUUCCAUUGCCCUCCUUAGAAAUCUCAAACAUUUAUAUAUCUGUAGACGGGAAUCAACUGAAUCUUAUUCCCUUCCAAUAAGUCUUGAGCAGCUCGGCUUAGUAUUUCCUUCAUUAAUUUCAGCAAAUCAUGUGAAUCCCAUAACAGUGGCGAAUCGGAUGCACUCAACUUGUUGUUCCCAGCAACCUCUUCAAUUAUUAUUGCCUUCCUUAUCUGGUCUUCAAUCUUUAACAUAUUUGCAUCUUAGUGACCUCAAUCUUUUGUCAAUCCCCAAUGACAUUGGCUGCUUGUCCUCUUUAGAACACUUAAACUUAAGUGGAAAUGAUUUUGUUUCCCUUCCUGAAAGCAUGUCUCAACUCUCUAAUCUUCGAAGAUUCCAUUUGGAGGGUUGCAAGAUGCUUCAGUCAUUGGAAAAUGUUCCGUCAACUAUUGAUUCAGUAAUUGCAAACAACUGUGCCUCACUGAUGAGAUUGCUAGAACUGCAGUUUUAUACUUUUAGGUCAGAUCACUCCCAUUUGAAUUUCCAGUGUGUUAACUGCUUCAAAUUGGCUACAUAUAUUGGAAGUAGUGGUAGCAUGCUUCAGGGGCAAAGUGGUAAACUUCCAGACAUCUUUGACAUUAUUAUUCCUGAUGAUCACUUUCCAAGAAGGUUUAAACAUGAAUCUGUAAGUCAUAAAUUGAAGGUACAAGUGCCUUAUGGGCGUGAUGAACCGAUGGGAAUUGAGUUGUGCGUUUGUUUUUCAGUCACAGAGGCUUCUAAAGAUUUUCUACUUAAAUGUAGGAUUAAAGUCAAUGGAUUUCAAAGCGCAUCACCAAUAUGCUCUUCUUUUAGGGCAAACUACGGUAGAGUUUGUUCACGUCACAUUUGGCAGCUCUAUUUGUCUCCUCACUAUUUCCACUCCCAAUGGGGAGAGAAUUUUUGUCAAAUCGAUGGGAAUGGAUCCAAUAAAAUUGAGAUUAGAAUAAGUACUUCAAAUAACUUGGAGGUGGAGAAAGUCGGGAUUCAUUAUGAUAUUAUUAAAUGAUUCAUCCUCCAAAGGUACCCGAAAUAAGUGAAGCCAUGAUGAGGAUGAUGGGGUUGGGCCUUUUGGAGAAGGCAAUUCAAUUGACGAACCACCUCAAAUUUUUGACUUCGUUGCUUGUGAUGAUGUCAAAAUUGUCGGUUGGGGCACUCACUCAAUAUGAAGCACUAGACGAUCUUAUAGGGCCUGCAAGAUAAGGAAGAGAUAGAUCGAAGAGACCACCGGGUUGUGCUCGGUGGGGAAGCCUUCGAUGCUUAAGUAUCAGCCAAUAUAUUUCCUAUACAGAUAGUGUUUUUGUAGUAUUUUUGAUAUACCUUAGCAAAUGGACAGAUUGUCCCUUAUAUAGGUGACUUAGGUAGCUGUUGGACAUAAAUAAGGGUGAUUAUUAUGCUAAUUGUAACGUUCUUUAUCUUGAUGAGAGAGUUUAAGACCAUUAAUGGUCGUUAGUGAAUGUGUUGGGCGGUUACUCGUCUAUCUUUGAUGGCCUACUAAUGACGCAAUGAUCAUCCAUUAAGAUGGACGAUUUUAAUGGUUUUUAUGGGCUCAUCACUAGGAGGAGAUCACACAUCCAAGAAGUGACGAGUUAAUUAUGGAGUUAAGAGUGGCAGCAAUUGUGGAUGCACUUGAAGAGGACGCAAAAUGGUUUGAAGAGCUUGAAGAGGAGCUGGAGAAGAUUUUGUAUUGUGAUGAAGCCGGGCCGAACUAAAAGUGAGUGAAGCUGACAACUUUUCUUGACAGAAAGCCAACAUAUCAUACAUACAUAUUAUUAAUAUGAAAAAUAGUAGACUAUUUUAUGCAACUUUUAUGGAAAUGUAAAACCAUAACUUUUUUUCUUUUUUCACAACUUACAGUUUGUUACAAAUAGUUGAAUCAAAAGUAUUUAUACAACUUUUGCAACAAACGUAAAGUUUUG